GAGUACACCGUUUGGGGCGGUGGGGUUCAAGGUUCGAGUCCUUGGUUGGAGACCACUCCGACUAGCUCAAUUGGCUA
rnacentral:tRNA from 1 species